rnacentral:rRNA from 1 species
UACAGAGGGUGCAAGCGUUGUUCGGAAUUAUUGGGCGUAAAGCGCGUGUAGGCGGCUUUGCAAGUCGGGUGUGAAAGCCCUCAGCUCAACUGAGGAAGUGCGCCCGAAACUGCAGAGCUUGAGUACCGGAGAGGAUGGUGGAAUUCCCAAGUAGAGGUGAAAUUCGUAGAUAUGGGAGGAACACCGGUGGCGAAGGCGACCAUCUGGACGGAUACUGACGCUGAGACGCGAAAGCGUGGGGAGCAAACAGGG